rnacentral:lncRNA from 1 species
CCUGAGAAAAGCUACAUGUGGGACAAGGACAGGCCAAAAAAUUGCAGACUGGUACGCAAUAAUGUUGUGUUUUGUCCCUUCUGGGUCAUGCCCAACCUGGAAUGCACCAAGCCUAGUUCUAGAUCCAGGGUGGGAUGGGUGAAGUAGCUUGCUUAGGGUUCUGGGUGCAGCCCAUGCUGGAUCUGGAUGGCUUUUGGAUUCAUGAUUUAGGCUUAGAUUAGACUCAUCC